CGAUGAUCUCCAGCUUGCUGGGGGGAUUAGUGGCGAACGGGUGAGUAACACGUGAGUAACCUGCCCUUGACUCUGGGAUAAGCCUGGGAAACUGGGUCUAAUACCGGAUAUGACCUUCCAUCGCAUGGUGGUUGGUGGAAAGCUUUUGUGGUUUUGGAUGGACUCGCGGCCUAUCAGCUUGUUGGUGGGGUAAUGGCCUACCAAGGCGACGACGGGUAGCCGGCCUGAGAGGGUGACCGGCCACACUGGGACUGAGACACGGCCCAGACUCCUACGGGAGGCAGCAGUGGGGAAUAUUGCACAAUGGGCGCAAGCCUGAUGCAGCGACGCCGCGUGAGGGAUGACGGCCUUCGGGUUGUAAACCUCUUUCAGUAGGGAAGAAGCCGUAAGGUGACGGUACCUGCAGAAGAAGCGCCGGCUAACUACGUGCCAGCAGCCGCGGUAAUACGUAGGGCGCAAGCGUUAUCCGGAAUUAUUGGGCGUAAAGAGCUCGUAGGCGGUUUGUCGCGUCUGCCGUGAAAGUCCGGGGCUCAACUCCGGAUCUGCGGUGGGUACGGGCAGACUAGAGUGAUGUAGGGGAGACUGGAAUUCCUGGUGUAGCGGUGAAAUGCGCAGAUAUCAGGAGGAACACCGAUGGCGAAGGCAGGUCUCUGGGCAUUAACUGACGCUGAGGAGCGAAAGCAUGGGGAGCGAACAGGAUUAGAUACCCUGGUAGUCCAUGCCGUAAACGUUGGGCACUAGGUGUGGGGGACAUUCCACGUUUUCCGCGCCGUAGCUAACGCAUUAAGUGCCCCGCCUGGGGAGUAC
rnacentral:rRNA from 1 species